GGGCUUAACCUCAUAAUGAGUUAGCAAUAAUGUGGUUCAAACCCGCAUUUGGCGAGAAUCGAACCUAAGACUUUUUCAUUACAAGCGAAAAAGAAUACCACUAGAUUGUAAUAUUAAUGUUCGUCUAGCCCCUUCUUUCUUCUGGGCUUCGGCUGGGCCUUGGACUUUUCCUUCUUCUGAACCUCCUUUUAGGCUUUCUUUUGGGCUAACCUCUUUUUAACCUAAAGUUCAAGUUUUGUCCCAAACAAUUAAGUGGUCAUAGAAUUGGAUUCUUAAAAUAAGAAAAUAACAAAUACUUAUUUGAAAUAUAUUCCCAAAAACGGUGCAUCUUAACCAAAAAAAAAUGUUCUUCACUGUUCUGACAAGUUCUCAAUUACGUAGAUAGGUAAGCUUAUCAAUUAUCGAUGGUGAAGGGCUAAUUAGAAAUUGUCAAAGGUAUGCACCCAUAAAUCAAAUAAUAAUUAUUAUGUGCACCUAUAUUUGACUUGCACGCAUGAUCUCUGAUCAACGGCUGAAUAUACGAGAGAGAACAAGUCUCUGGGCUGCUACCAUUGUUAAGAGUAAGUCCAUUCCUAAAAAAAUACGCCAGUAUCCAGCCUAUUUAAUCCACUUAGUGAACAGUGAUAGAUCCCGAUGAACAGUAAUAGACCAAAUGCAUCUUCAUCCUUAAAAUUAAAUAGCCUAGUCAAUUUUAUUAAAAUAUUAUUAAUUUUUAUUAUAAAAUAAUAAU
rnacentral:lncRNA from 1 species